AGAGUUGAUCAUGGCUCAGGAUGAACGCUGGCGGCAUGCCUAACACAUGCAAGUCGAACGGAGUUGGAGGUAGCUUGCUACUGACAACUUAGUGGCGGACGGGUGAGUAACGCGUGAGUAACCUGCCUCUAAGAGGGGGAUAACGUUCUGAAAAGAACGCUAAUACCGCAUAUAAUUACGAAAUCGCAUGAUUUUGUGAUGAAAGGAGCAAUCCGCUUAGAGAUGGACUCGCGUCUGAUUAGCUGGAUGGUGGGGUAACGGCUCACCAUGGCGACGAUCAGUAGCCGGACUGAGAGGUUGAACGGCCACAUUGGGACUGAGACACGGCCCAGACUCCUACGGGAGGCAGCAGUGGGGGAUAUUGCGCAAUGGGGGAAACCCUGAACCGCAGCAAUGCCGCGUGAAGGAUGAAGGUUUUCGGAUUGUAAACUUCUUUUGUUAAGGACGAUAAUGACGGUACUUAACGAAUAAGCUCCGGCUAACUAUGUGCCAGCCGCUGC
rnacentral:rRNA from 1 species